rnacentral:rRNA from 1 species
GUGGGGAAUCUUCCGCAAUGGACGAAAGUCUGACGGAGCAACGCCGCGUGAGUGAAGAAGGUUUUCGGAUCGUAAAGCUCUUUCGUUAGGGACGAACGUGCUCUUUGUGAAUAAUGAGGAGUAAUGACGGUACCUAAAUAAGAAGCCACGGCUAACUACGUGCCAGCAGCCGCGGUAAUACGUAGGUGGCAAGCGUUGUCCGGAAUUAUUGGGCGUAAAGCGCGCGCAGGCGGGAUAUCAAGUCUGUCUUAAAAGUGCGAGGCUCAACCUCGUGAGGGGACAGAAACUGGUAUUCUUGAGUGUCGGAGAGGAAAGUGGAAUUCCAAGUGUAGCGGUGAAAUGCGUAGAGGUUUGGAAGAACACCAGUGGCGAAGGCGACUUUCUGGACGAUGUCUGACGCUGAGGCACGAAAGCUAGGGGAGCGAACGGGAUUAGAUACCCCUGUAGUCC